rnacentral:sRNA from 1 species
UGCCACCUGCAGGAGACGGAGCUACUGGAUCUCAGCCUUGUCAAAGAUGCCAGAUGUGGGAGACACGCCAAAGCUCCCAAGGACCCUAAAUUACGUGAAC